GGGAUCAUUAAUACGAGUUUCCCAACUCCCAAACCCUGUGAACAUACCUAUCGUUGMMMGMMMMMMMGCCUCGCUGACGCGGGGCGCGCGGCCUGCCGGCGGCCCAACCAACCAUGGCUAUUUACUUUUGAGCUCUGAACACAACUAAACAAGUUAAAACUUUCAACAACGGAUCUCUUGGUUCUGGCAUCMAUGAAGAACGCAGCGAAAUGCGAUAAGUAAUGUGAAUUGCAGAAUUCAGUGAAUCAUCGAAUCUUUGAACGCACAUUGCGCCCAUUAGUAUUCUAGUGGGCAUGCCUGUUCGAGCGUCAUUUCAACCCUCAAGCCCCUGUCGCUUGGCGUUGGGAGACUACAGCGACGUAUCUCCCCAAAUACAGUGGCGGGGUCGGUUCGCACCCUAGGCGUAGUAGCAUCUAUCUCGCCUGCGGGCCGGGCCGGUCCCCUGCCGUGAAACCCCCCAUUUCUAAAGGUUGACCUCMMGAUCAGGUAGGAAMACCCCGCUUGAACUUAAUGCAUAUCAAAUAAMCGGAAGG
rnacentral:misc_RNA from 1 species